UCUGCCGGCUCCCAAAUUGAUCAGCGGCGGGGGGGGCGGGGAACGUCAGCCUGGAAUGAACUUGCCUUGUUCAGUGGGGUUCUGAGACAGCGGAACUCAAUCAGCAGCGGGCCACACGGUUCAAAGCCGCAAUUCAUCCCGGCGUGCCUCUGAAAAAUGGGAGGUGACAGUUCAUUUUGCCGGUGACAGUCUGUCGGUCUCGCUCGCUGCUUCUGCCGCCGAUUGCGCCGCCGAGGUGAAGUGCGAGCUCCGAGACACCCCCGCUUUGUAUUCCGCUCACUGAACAGGACAAGCCGAGGAUCAAAGCACCUGUCAAAUUUCCUCCUGCUGUGCUGCUCUGAUAACUCAGGGGCUGACUCUGACUGCUCGUGGCUCCUGUUGGGGAGAAGCUUUUAACUUCACUGCAAAUGCACAAAUACACAGGAGAGGAAGCAGUAAUUGCCAUUUGACUUCCAAAGUCGUCUGUGCAAGCUGUUGGCUCGGAAAACAGAGCUCUCCAACACAAGCUGGGCUUAAAAUACCCUUGGCUUGACUAAACAAGAGACGAGAAGCCAGUAAUUAAAGCCUGUUAAACACUGAGCAUCAUUAAACCAGUUUGGCACGUG